GACGAACGCUGGCGGCGUGCUUAACACAUGCAAGUCGAGCGGAGCGGCGAACGGGUGAGUAACGCGUGAGUAACUGCCCCCCUCCCUGGGAUAACAGGUGGCAACGGCUGCUCAUAACGGAUAGUGGGGGAUGACUCGCGUCCUAUCGGCUUGUUGGUGGGGUAGUGGCCUACCAAGUCGACGACGGGUAGCCGGCCUGAGAGGGCGACCGGCCACAUUGGGCUGAGAUACGGACCAGACUCCUACGGGAGGCAGCAGUGGGGAAUAUUGCACAAUGGGGGAAACCCUGAUGAAGCAACGCCGCGUGCGGAAUGACGGCCUUCGGGUUGUAAACCGCUUUCAGCCAUGACGCGGUAGUGGCAGAAGAAGCACCGGCUAACUUCGUGCCAGCCGCCGCGGUAAUUC
rnacentral:rRNA from 1 species